GCAGUGGGGAAUAUUGGACAAUGGGCGCAAGCCUGAUCCAGCCAUGCCGCGUGAGUGAUGAAGGCCUUAGGGUUGUAAAGCUCUUUCAGUGGGGAAGAUAAUGACGGUACCCACAGAAGAAGCCCCGGCUAACUUCGUGCCAGCAGCCGCGGUAAUACGAAGGGGGCUAGCGUUGUUCGGAUUUACUGGGCGUAAAGCGCACGUAGGCGGUUUGUUAAGUGAGAGGUGAAAUCCCAGAGCUCAACUCUGGAACUGCCUUUCAUACUGGCAAGCUAGAGUCCGGAAGAGGUAAGUGGAACUCCUAGUGUAGAGGUGGAAUUCGUAGAUAUUAGGAAGAACACCAGUGGCGAAGGCGGCUUACUGGUCCGGAACUGACGCUGAGGUGCGAAAGCGUGGGGAGCAAACAGGAUUAGA
rnacentral:rRNA from 1 species